rnacentral:rRNA from 57 species
UUAAGUUAUUAAGGGCGCACGGUGGAUGCCUUGGCACUAGAAGCCGAUGAAGGACGUUACUAACGACGAUAUGCUUUGGGGAGCUGUAAGUAAGCUUUGAUCCAGAGAUUUCCGAAUGGGGAAACCCAGCAUGAGUUAUGUCAUGUUAUCGAUAUGUGAAUACAUAGCAUAUCAGAAGGCACACCCGGAGAACUGAAACAUCUUAGUACCCGGAGGAAGAGAAAGAAAAUUCGAUUCCCUUAGUAGCGGCGAGCGAAACGGGAAGAGCCCAAACCAAAAAGCUUGCUUGUUGGGGUUGUAGGACACUCUAUACGGAGUUACAAAGGACGACAUUAGACGAAUCAUCUGGAAAGAUGAAUCAAAGAAGGUAAUAAUCCUGUAGUCGAAAAUGUUGUCUCUCUUGAGUGGAUCCUGAGUACGACGGAGCACGUGAAAUUCCGUCGGAAUCUGGGAGGACCAUCUCCUAAGGCUAAAUACUCUCUAGUGACCGAUAGUGAACCAGUACCGUGAGGGAAAGGUGAAAAGCACCCCGGAAGGGGAGUGAAAUAGAACCUGAAACCGUGUGCUUACAAGUAGUCAGAGCCCGUUAAUGGGUGAUGGCGUGCCUUUUGUAGAAUGAACCGGCGAGUUACGAUUUGAUGCAAGGUUAAGCAGUAAAUGUGGAGCCGUAGCGAAAGCGAGUCUGAAUAGGGCGUUUAGUAUUUGGUCGUAGACCCGAAACCAGGUGAUCUACCCUUGGUCAGGUUGAAGUUCAGGUAACACUGAAUGGAGGACCGAACCGACUUACGUUGAAAAGUGAGCGGAUGAACUGAGGGUAGCGGAGAAAUUCCAAUCGAACCUGGAGAUAGCUGGUUCUCUCCGAAAUAGCUUUAGGGCUAGCCUCAAGUGAUGAUUAUUGGAGGUAGAGCACUGUUUGGACGAGGGGCCCCUCUCGGGUUACCGAAUUCAGACAAACUCCGAAUGCCAAUUAAUUUAACUUGGGAGUCAGAACAUGGGUGAUAAGGUCCGUGUUCGAAAGGGAAACAGCCCAGACCACCAGCUAAGGUCCCAAAAUAUAUGUUAAGUGGAAAAGGAUGUGGCGUUGCCCAGACAACUAGGAUGUUGGCUUAGAAGCAGCCAUCAUUUAAAGAGUGCGUAAUAGCUCACUAGUCGAGUGACACUGCGCCGAAAAUGUACCGGGGCUAAACAUAUUACCGAAGCUGUGGAUUGUCCUUUGGACAAUGGUAGGAGAGCGUUCUAAGGGCGUUGAAGCAUGAUCGUAAGGACAUGUGGAGCGCUUAGAAGUGAGAAUGCCGGUGUGAGUAGCGAAAGACGGGUGAGAAUCCCGUCCACCGAUUGACUAAGGUUUCCAGAGGAAGGCUCGUCCGCUCUGGGUUAGUCGGGUCCUAAGCUGAGGCCGACAGGCGUAGGCGAUGGAUAACAGGUUGAUAUUCCUGUACCACCUAUAAUCGUUUUAAUCGAUGGGGGGACGCAGUAGGAUAGGCGAAGCGUGCGAUUGGAUUGCACGUCUAAGCAGUAAGGCUGAGUAUUAGGCAAAUCCGGUACUCGUUAAGGCUGAGCUGUGAUGGGGAGAAGACAUUGUGUCUUCGAGUCGUUGAUUUCACACUGCCGAGAAAAGCCUCUAGAUAGAAAAUAGGUGCCCGUACCGCAAACCGACACAGGUAGUCAAGAUGAGAAUUCUAAGGUGAGCGAGCGAACUCUCGUUAAGGAACUCGGCAAAAUGACCCCGUAACUUCGGGAGAAGGGGUGCUCUUUAGGGUUAACGCCCAGAAGAGCCGCAGUGAAUAGGCCCAAGCGACUGUUUAUCAAAAACACAGGUCUCUGCUAAACCGUAAGGUGAUGUAUAGGGGCUGACGCCUGCCCGGUGCUGGAAGGUUAAGAGGAGUGGUUAGCUUCUGCGAAGCUACGAAUCGAAGCCCCAGUAAACGGCGGCCGUAACUAUAACGGUCCUAAGGUAGCGAAAUUCCUUGUCGGGUAAGUUCCGACCCGCACGAAAGGCGUAACGAUUUGGGCACUGUCUCAACGAGAGACUCGGUGAAAUCAUAGUACCUGUGAAGAUGCAGGUUACCCGCGACAGGACGGAAAGACCCCGUGGAGCUUUACUGUAGCCUGAUAUUGAAAUUCGGCACAGCUUGUACAGGAUAGGUAGGAGCCUUUGAAACGUGAGCGCUAGCUUACGUGGAGGCGCUGGUGGGAUACUACCCUAGCUGUGUUGGCUUUCUAACCCGCACCACUUAUCGUGGUGGGAGACAGUGUCAGGCGGGCAGUUUGACUGGGGCGGUCGCCUCCUAAAAGGUAACGGAGGCGCUCAAAGGUUCCCUCAGAAUGGUUGGAAAUCAUUCAUAGAGUGUAAAGGCAUAAGGGAGCUUGACUGCGAGACCUACAAGUCGAGCAGGGUCGAAAGACGGACUUAGUGAUCCGGUGGUUCCGCAUGGAAGGGCCAUCGCUCAACGGAUAAAAGCUACCCCGGGGAUAACAGGCUUAUCUCCCCCAAGAGUUCACAUCGACGGGGAGGUUUGGCACCUCGAUGUCGGCUCAUCGCAUCCUGGGGCUGUAGUCGGUCCCAAGGGUUGGGCUGUUCGCCCAUUAAAGCGGUACGCGAGCUGGGUUCAGAACGUCGUGAGACAGUUCGGUCCCUAUCCGUCGUGGGCGUAGGAAAUUUGAGAGGAGCUGUCCUUAGUACGAGAGGACCGGGAUGGACAUACCUCUGGUGUACCAGUUGUCGUGCCAACGGCAUAGCUGGGUAGCUAUGUGUGGACGGGAUAAGUGCUGAAAGCAUCUAAGCAUGAAGCCCCCCUCAAGAUGAGAUUUCCCAACUUCGGUUAUAAGAUCCCUCAAAGAUGAUGAGGUUAAUAGGUUCGAGGUGGAAGCAUGGUGACAUGUGGAGCUGACGAAUACUAAUCGAUCGAAGACUUAAUCAA